rnacentral:rRNA from 1 species
GCUCAUGAUGAACGCUAGCUACAGGCUUAACACAUGCAAGUCGAGGGGCAGCAUGGUCUUAGCUUGCUAAGGCCGAUGGCGACCGGCGCACGGGUGAGUAACACGUAUCCAACCUGCCGUCUACUCUUGGACAGCCUUCUGAAAGGAAGAUUAAUACAAGAUGGCAUCAUGAGUCCGCAUGUUCACAUGAUUAAAGGUAUUCCGGUAGACGAUGGGGAUGCGUUCCAUUAGAUAGUAGGCGGGGUAACGGCCCACCUAGUCUUCGAUGGAUAGGGGUUCUGAGAGGAAGGUCCCCCACAUUGGAACUGAGACACGGUCCAAACUCCUACGGGAGGCAGCAGUGAGGAAUAUUGGUCAAUGGGCGAGAGCCUGAACCAGCCAAGUAGCGUGAAGGAUGACUGCCCUAUGGGUUGUAAACUUCUUUUAUAAAGGAAUAAAGUCGGGUAUGGAUAUCCGUUUGCAUGUACUUUAUGAAUAAGGAUCGGCUAACUCCGUGCCAGCAGCCGCGGUAAUACGGAGGAUCCGAGCGUUAUCCGGAUUUAUUGGGUUUAAAGGGAGCGUAGAUGGAUGUUUAAGUCAGUUGUGAAAGUUUGCGGCUCAACCGUAAAAUUGCAGUUGAUACUGGAUAUCUUGAGUGCAGUUGAGGCAGGCGGAAUUCGUGGUGUAGCGGUGAAAUGCUUAGAUAUCACGAAGAACUCCGAUUGCGAAGGCAGCCUGCUAAGCUGCAACUGACAUUGAGGCUCGAAAGUGUGGGUAUCAAACAGGAUUAGAUACCCUGGUAGUCCACACGGUAAACGAUGAAUACUCGCUGUUUGCGAUAUACUGCAAGCGGCCAAGCGAAAGCGUUAAGUAUUCCACCUGGGGAGUACGCCGGCAACGGUGAAACUCAAAGGAAUUGACGGGGGCCCGCACAAGCGGAGGAACAUGUGGUUUAAUUCGAUGAUACGCGAGGAACCUUACCCGGGCUUAAAUUGCAGAUGAAUUACGGUGAAAGCCGUAAGCCGCAAGGCAUCUGUGAAGGUGCUGCAUGGUUGUCGUCAGCUCGUGCCGUGAGGUGUCGGCUUAAGUGCCAUAACGAGCGCAACCCUUGUUGUCAGUUACUAACAGGUUCCGCUGAGGACUCUGACAAGACUGCCAUCGUAAGAUGUGAGGAAGGUGGGGAUGACGUCAAAUCAGCACGGCCCUUACGUCCGGGGCUACACACGUGUUACAAUGGGGGGUACAGAGGGCCGCUACCACGCGAGUGGAUGCCAAUCCCCAAAACCUCUCUCAGUUCGGACUGGAGUCUGCAACCCGACUCCACGAAGCUGGAUUCGCUAGUAAUCGCGCAUCAGCCACGGCGCGGUGAAUACGUUCCCGGGCCUUGUACACACCGCCCGUCAAGCCAUGGGAGCCGGGGGUACCUGAAGUGCGUAACCGCGAGGAGCGCCCUAGGGUAAA